rnacentral:rRNA from 1 species
CAAUAGCGUAUAUUAAAGUUGUUGCAGUUAAAAAGCUCGUAGUUGGAUUUCUGGUUUGAUGCGCCUGGCCCGCCGCGGUUACGCGUGUGAGAGCCGGUUGCGCGUCGACCAUCCUUCUGGAGAGCGCGGCUAUUCUUCACUGAACUGGUCGCGCGAUCUGGAUCGUUUACUUUGAAAAAAUUAGAGUGUUCAAAGCAGGCUUGCGCUGUGAAUACAUUAGCAUGGAAUAAUGAGAUAGGACUUUGGUUCUAUUUUGUUGGUUUCUAGGACCGAACGUAAUGAUUGAUAGGGACAGUUGGGGGUGCUCGUAUUCAACGGCCAGAGGUGAAAUUCUUGGAUUCGUUGAAGACGAACUUAUGCGAAAGCAUUCACCAAGGAUGUCUUCUUUAA